GUUUGAAGUAGCUAUGGGAAUGAUCAAUAUUGAACUUGCUGAGGCUCUUUUCCUGAAAGUGACUUGACCAGAUAUUUGGCUACCCAGUAUGAGUAUCUUUCUGCUACAUUAAAUAAAAUAUCGUGGAGGAACACGAAGAAAAAGGAUGCGCACCUCAACAUAUUCAAGGUCAAGCAGCUUUUUACCAUAUCCAUAGUAUCUUGCUGCUAAAUGAAAGAAUUAGUGUGGAGGAGCAGAGAAAAGGGCACCUCAACAUGUUCAAGGUCAAGCAGAAAUUAGGAGCUAGGUGUGCUUCUCCAGAGCUGAAAACUUCUUGGCAUGAAGAGAAGAAGAAGCAAGAAAAAGCAGUUUUAAAUAU